GAUGAGAGUGCGGGGUGGGGCGGACUGAGAAGGCUGCGAGGGGAGCGGCCGGCGGAGCAGGUGUGGUGGUGUUGCAUGUCAGCAUCAUCUGUCAGGUAGAAGAGCUCUCUCUAGCGCUUCCCCCCGCCCCCCAAAAAGAUGACCGGUAAGGGGAUCCGAACCCGUGGCCUUAUGUGUUAUCAGCACCACGCUCUCCCAGGUCCACUAAAACUUCAUUAAAAAAUGAGAAUGAGAUGAGAGUCAACAGUAACAGCCUUUUGGAAGCUGAAGAGAAGGAAGAAUGGUAAAUGAUUUAACAACCAAGCCUUAAAUUAAAUGUAAAAAUCAGACAACUAACACACUUUAUAACACAGAAAUGAGCAGUCCUAGGUUCCUGUGGAAAUGGGUGACUGAAAGGAAAAACCCAGCCCGAACACAGAAUGAGAAACACAGCAGGAGACAAAGGCUCAACCAUGAUGUAUU